CUUGCUGUUCCUUCUGCCUGGAGUUCCUUUUCUCUUCAGCUCUGAUGAACUUCCCCUCCUCUGCAGGAGAUAGCCCCAAGUCGUGCUGGGGUCACCAUGACAGCAGAACAUCUCCCAUAAGCGGAGCACCUCCAGGGCUGAGAGGAGCCCCUUAUGGCAUCCCCAGCUUUGCUGUGCACAGGCAGGAAGGGCCGAGACGCGGCCUGGGGAGCUGGAAGAGGCUUCAAGGGCAUCCUGAGGAGCGAAGUCUGGACAGGACUCCCGGGCACAGGGCACCGUUGCAGGUGGACGGAGGCUGAAGAAACUUCGCAGAGCUUCUGGGUACCUAGAUACCGUGCCAUUUCCACUUAGGCCAAAAAGUAAAUCCUUAUCGCUCUCCUUUGACCCUGCCUUGGCAAACCCCUUCCUCGGUCCCUGCACCUCGGCGUCAGCCUGGACUGUCGAACCCGACGCACUCCAAUUCCCGCCCGUGGUUGCCACCUACUGGCUACGUCCGGCCGUGCAGAAACAGGCCCCUGGCGGAUUAUCUGCGCAGCAGCAGAAGUAGCUUCUCUAGGCUCGCGGAGAAGAAUUUGAAAUGACGAAAAAUAAAGUCCCCUUCACUUA